UACGAAGGGGGCUAGCGUUGCUCGGAAUCACUGGGCGUAAAGGGCGCGUAGGCGGACUCUUAAGUCGGGGGUGAAAGCCCAGGGCUCAACCCUGGAAUUGCCUUCGAUACUGAGAGUCUUGAGUUCGGAAGAGGUUGGUGGAACUGCGAGUGUAGAGGUGAAAUUCGUAGAUAUUCGCAAGAACACCAGUGGCGAAGGCG
rnacentral:rRNA from 1 species